GACGAACGCUGGCGGCGUGCUUAAUACAUGCAAGUCGAAUGGAAAGGCCCUGCUCUUGUGGGUUGCUCGAGUGGGGCACGCGGGAGUAACACGUGAGUAACCUGCCCUUGACUUUGGGAUAUCUUCAGGGAACUGGGGCUAAUAUCCGAUAGGAGCUCCUGCUGCAUGGUGGGGGUUGGAAAGUUUCGGCGGUUGGGGAUGGACUCGCAGCGUAUCAGCUUGUUGGUGUGGUAGUGGAUUACCAAGGCUUUGACGGGUAGCCGGCCUGGGAGGGUGGCCGGGCUCAAUGGGACUGAGAUACGGCCCAGACGCCUACGGGAGGCAGUGGUGGGGAAUAUUACACAGUGGGCGGAAGCCGGAUACAACAACCCCGCGUGCGGAAUGACGGCUUUCGGGUUGUAAACCGCUUUCGCAUGUGACGAAGCGGUAGUGACGGUAAUGAAUAAGGAAGCACCGGCUAACUACGUG
rnacentral:rRNA from 1 species